rnacentral:rRNA from 1 species
UACAGAGGGGGCAAGCGUUAUUCGGAAUUAUUGGGCCUAAAGCGUCCGUAGCUGGCUUGUUAGAUGCCUGGGUAAAUCGAUGCGCUCAACGUAUCGAAUUCCGGGUAGACCGGCAAGCUCGAGACCGGGAGAGGUGUAGGCUACUCGAGGGGUAGGGGUAAAAUCCUGUAAUCCUUCGGGGAGGACCAGUGGCGAAGGCGCUACACUAGAACGGCUCUGACAGUGAGGGACGAAGCCCUGGGGCGCAAACCGG